rnacentral:tRNA from 1 species
GGACGCGUGCCCGAGUGGACUAAGGGGGCGGAUUGCAAAUCCGUUUGGCGAAAGCCUACCGUCGGUUCGAAUCCGACCGCGUCCU